rnacentral:lncRNA from 1 species
CAACCGAGGAUCUGAUCAAGUGUGUCAGUCAUGCUCUGAAACCCAGCAUCCUAAGGGGGAAACACCUCCUUGAUCGGGGUAUCUAGGGGAAGCUGGGAAGCCACCUUCUUCAGAACUGUCUGGCCCUUCUUCACCAUGGUAGACUAGAAAAAUGAAAAAAAACAAAUUAAUUUGCAUAUAAACAUAAUUAAUAUUAAUACAAAUUGAAUAUUAUAAAUGUGAAAGAACUUACAUGAAGCUGCUCUGUCAGCUCAUCCCCGGGCCGAACGUACACCUCCUUGAACAUGUCAAUUUCAGGAAACUUUGACCCCCCUUGAAAAUUUUUAAAAAGUUUUAACAUAGAUUACCAAUUCUGUAAUAAAGAGUAAAAAGAUUGAAUAAUUAAAAUAAAUAUAUAGUUACCUUACAUCGCUCCUCCAACCUCUAAGAGAAGCGUCGUGACCCGGAUCGGUAAAGAAGUUUCUUCUUCGACUGAUUGA